UACGGAGGGUGCAAGCGUUAAUCGGAAUCACUGGGCGUAAAGCGCGCGUAGGCGGCUUGAUAAGUCAGGCGUGAAAUCCCUCGGCUCAACCGGGGAACUGCGUUUGAUACUGUCAGGCUUGAGUAGCGGAGGGGGUGGCGGAAUUCCGGGUGUAGGAGUGAAAUCCGUAGAUAUCCGGAGGAACACCGGUGGCGAAGGCGGCCACCUGGACGCUAACUGACGCUGAGGCGCGAAAGCGUGGGGAGCAAACAGG
rnacentral:rRNA from 1 species